rnacentral:lncRNA from 10 species
GAGCUGGGUGCGCGCCGAGCACAGGAGAUUGCCUGCGUUUAGGAGGUGGCUGCGUUGUGGGAAAAGCUAUCAAGGAAGAAAUUGCCAAACCAUGUCUUUUUUUCUGUUUUCAGAGUAGUUCACAACAGAUCUGAGUGUUUUAAUUAAGCAUGGAAUACAGAAAACAACAAAAAACUUAAGCUUUAAUUUCAUCUGGAAUUCCACAGAGACAAGGCCACUUUAUGUUUCCCAGGCUGGACUGGAACCCCUGGGCUCAAAUGAUCCUCCUACCUAAGCCUGCAGAGUAGCGAGGACUUCAGUUUUCUUAGCUCCCUGGACCCGGUUGACCUGUUGGCUCUUCCCGCUGGCUGCUCUAUCACGUGGUGCUCUCCGACUACUCACCCCGAGUGUAAAGAACCUUCGGCUCGCGUGCUUCUGAGCUGCUGUGGAUGGCCUCGGCUCUCUGGACUGUCCUUCCGAGUAGGAUGUCACUGAGAUCCCUCAAAUGGAGCCUCCUGCUGCUGUCACUCCUGAGUUUCUUUGUGAUGUGGUACCUCAGCCUUCCCCACUACA